UUUUUUCUGAUAUAUUUUGAAUAUGAAUAAUCAUCGUAUUUUUACUUUAAACAAUUAAAUAAAUGGGACCAUGACACUUGAACUGGUUUAUAUAAAAAAAACAUGGCCGGCAUCUAGGUCAGGUUAUGACAGACACAUUUCUGGGAUACAUUGUUUAUUGCACUCGAUUUGUAUUUGUCAUGGUCUUUAUAGAAAGUUAUUGUUAACUUUUUUUCUAAAUUAGACAUUGAUUUUUUUACAAAAUAAAUUGAAGUCAAGGCUGCAAUAAAAGAAAAAAGAAAACAAAAGUUGGCACUUCAUUUUUGUUUACAGUAUUUUUUCUACAUCACUAUGACAAAAAAUGUAAUUGGACACAUAACAUAUUUUGCAAUUUGUUUACAAUGAAUGAGCUUGACAUAGAUCUACAUCAAGUAGAUUUAUACUGUAUAAAAUAUUUUAAAAAAAGGAAAUAUAUGACAAGGCUUCAGUACAGGGAUAACAUUUCCUUUGCUAAAUUGAUCUUGAAUUGUAAUAGAAAAUCAUUUGUCAAUAAUUACAGUACUGCUGCUUUUGAAAUACAAUAAAUAUAUCUAGUACUGUGAUUGAAGAUGUGACCAUAGAUAAAAAUUAAAAUGCAUUUAUUUUUAUUAGCCCUUUGCCUUUGGUGGUAUCUACAAUAAAUCAUAUUAUAUUCACAUUACUCAUACCACAUGGCAUGUUCUACCAGCAGGGUUUCCAUUAAAUUCCAAACAUUGGCAGUCAAAGACUGCAAAAUGUAUGUAAUUGGAAGUCACUUUGUAGGUAAAGAAGGAAAAGCAUUACAUUUUGGAAGCCAAAAUCAAGGUGUAAAUGACUCCCAAACUUUAAUAACAGAAGCCCUGCUAUCAGGAUAUUUUUAACAUUCAUGAGCCAGCACUUUUUGCUGAUGAAAUAUUUUGUGUUGUUGUUUUAGGUCUGACAGCCAACAUACAUUUAAGAUCUUCAACUUAGUUCAUCAGAGUUUUGAAGUAGAUAAUAUGAUUAUCCAGCAUGUUGGAGCCAUAUUCUUCAAGGAAAUGUACUUAAGACAUAGAUAGUUCACCUAUUUGCUGAUGAAUAUACUAAACUAUUGUUGGAAAUGAGGCACAAUGUGUGACAUAGUUCUAUGCCCUAUUGAGCACCAGGGUUAUGUUAGAGUAAAAAAGACAAUCACUUGUAUCAACUGUACUGUAUUGGUCAAGAUAAAAAAACACUUCAAUUGGGGUGGCAUGUGAGAAGUCAAUGACUUGUCUAUGUUUGACAGUAUACCAAAAGUGAAUUACAAUUUUAUAGAAUUUGUCUUUAGAAGUAUCCCUGAAAAAGCUGAAUACUACAGUGGCAGGUGUUACAAUUUUUUUACUUAAUUGUGAAACAAGUUUUAUAUAUGAAUCACUUUUUGCUUACAAAACCUGAAGACAUAUGAGGAGACAUAGUUGCUAUUACCCUGUUUGGGUCAAACCCUCAACAUGGGGUUGAAAAAAAGACUAUAAUUCAAGGACACAAAUGAACUCUCAUUUGUGACUUCCCAUGUGAUUGCUAGAAUCUGUUAUUGUAAUUGUUUUAAAUUAAUUGAAAAUAUUUCAAUUUAAAAAUAAACUAAUAUGUUAUUCAUAUUAUACAAUU